rnacentral:lncRNA from 1 species
GGCAGCCUCAACCGCCUGGCAGCGGCGGUUUCUUCUCUUCGUGAAAAUCGUGAUCUCAUCUCUCCGUCCAUGGGCGAAAAAACAGCCAUCACCAGGCCAUUCACGCUUUGUGCUUUUGUUAGCAGAGCCCAGGCAGCCCUGCAGCCCACAUCUAGGUUUCUCUGCAGAAGACAGCAAGAUGCCCCAGGGAAUGUUUGUGAAAAAGGAUGACUGGAUGGGAAGCAAGCUGAAGAAAAAGAAGGAAAGAAAGAGAGAAAUCAGUAAAUCACCACACAAGAGGUGGAGAAGAGGACUUAUAAAUAUUGUUUCUAUGACAUUUGAAAAUAAAUGUUUUACUCCAUGCUAAUAG